GGGUGUGGCUCAGUGGCAGAGCACCUGCUUGGCAUGCAGAAGGUCCUAUAUUCAAUCACUGGCAUCUCCU